GUGCUUGCUUCGGCAGCACAUACACUAAAAUUGGAACCAUACAGAGAAGAUUAACAUGGCCCCUGCGCAAGGAUGGCAUGCAAAUUCGUGAAGAGUUCCAUAUUUUU
ensembl:snRNA U6 U6 spliceosomal RNA